AAGAGAAGUCUGACGUCUGCAAGUUCUAGGGCCUAGCUAACGUGUAUUACAUAAUGGAGACUUAGGUUACCAAAAACAGAAAAUAUUGACCAUGUUGAGGCAGUGAGCUGUCUUGGUCAGCACCCAGGUGUAUCCAUCAACACGGGCACGUUAUAUCAAAAUGCAGGAUGGUGACUGAAGCUCAUCUUUGUAAACACCUAAAUGCCUAGAAUGGACUUCAAAACAGAUUCUGAAAGUUUAACCAGUAUAAUCUUGGAUAUGGACAAAAAGUAUACACUUGGAACACACACAAAAACAGAUGGGUCCAUGCCAAGCUAAAGAUUAGUGCAGAAUGUAAGUUCAAUUUUUCAUUUCGUAACUCUUCUGGUUUU